rnacentral:rRNA from 1 species
AGUGAACGCUGGCGGCAGGCCUAAUACAUGCAAGUCGAACGGCAGCACAGCAGAGCUUGCGCUGUGGGUGGCGAGUGGCGGACGGGUGAGGAAUACAUGGGAAUCUGCCCAGUCGUGGGGGAUAACGUAUGGAAACGUACGCUAAUACCGCAUGCGCCCUGUGGGGGAAAGCCGGGUACCUUCGUGCCUGGCGCGAUUGGAUGAGCCCAUGUUCGAUUAGCUAGUUGGCGGGGUAAAGGCCCACCAAGGCGACGAGCGAUAGCUGGUCUGAGAGGAUGAUCAGCCACACUGGGACUGAGACACGGCCAAGACUCCUACGGGAGGCAGCAGUAGGGAAUAUUGGACAAUGGGCGCAAGCCUGAUCCAGUCAUGCCGCGUGAGUGAAGAAGGCCCUCGGGUUGUAAAGAUCUUUUGUCCGGAAAGAAAAGCAUUCGGUUAAUACCCGGGUGUUCUGACGGUACCGGAAGAAUAAGCACCGGCUAACUUCGUG